AAAGGUACAUACGCAUAGCAUUCUGAUCCUCCUCCCCUGCCUUCGGACUUUUAUCUCCGAUGGCCAUUACCGGCUCUACUGACUGGUCACCGCCUCCAUUGAGCUCUUUCAGGUAAUCCUAUCAUCUCAGCCACUAAUCUCGCUCUCUUUUUCUCGAUCUUCGAUCUCUUCAUCUAAAUUCCUCCGGUAGCCUUUCCCCGAUCCCCGAACAAUCCCCCAUUGCCCUAACCGAGAUCGGUUUGGACUCUUCUUCAAGCUUUUGAACUCCCUGAAGGAUUAGAUCUACGAGUAUUACGUGAAAUCGGCAUUGAGGCAUCUAAUCAGUGAAAUUAGGGCGAGUGUUCGAGUCGCUUGAGUUCUUAGAGAUAUGAGGAAGAAAGGGAUUGAAGAGGAUUUGAUAUGCAGUUUUGCAAGCAUUUAGGAAGUUCAACUGGCUGAAGAUCUUUACAAUGAGGCAAAAGCCAAGAAGUUUUUGAGAGAUCCUGCAAUGUUUCUAAAGCUCAUAUUGAUGUAUAUUCAACAAGGGUCAUUAGAGAAGGCACUUGAGAUUGUGGAACUGAUGAAGGGCUUUAAAAUUGGAGUGUCUGACUGCAUUUUCUGUGGAAUUGUCAAUGGCUACGCCCUGAGAAGGGGUUAGGGUUUACGAGAAGCUGAUCGGGUGGGAGGUCGGACAAGUGAAAGCCCAAAGAGAAUAAUAUUUGCUAACUGUGAUUUUGUAUGGUAUAAAUGGUAGAGCUAGAUACCGAGUGGUAUGGCAAAUGAGAACGUUGGGUUCCCAAGGGGCAAAUGGGUGGAUUGUGAGAUUCCACGUUGGUUGAAGGGGAGAACGAAACAUUUCUUAUAAGGAUGUGGAAACAUUUUUUAGCAGACGUGUUAAAACAAGGGGAAACUCAAAAGGGAAAGUCCAAAAGGGACAAUAUCUGCAAACAACAGGUGGUGUGCCAGAGAGAACGUUGGCUCUCAUGGGAAUGGAUCACGUAGGCUUAGCUGUUACACCUCAGCGAUCAACCACGUAGGCUUAGCUGUUACACCUCAGCGAUCAACGCCUACUGCCAUGUCGGGCUGUACUCAAAAGCAGAAAUGGAGGAGAAGGGGUUUGACAAAAGUGUAGUUUGCAUACUCUAGCUUGAUAUCAAUGUAUGGGAAGACAGGAGGUUAAAACAUACAAUGAAGCUGAGAGUGUCAAAGAAUAGCUCAAGUGAGCCAAAACGAAGCAUGAAAGACACCAUUAUAUGAAUAACAUUACAUUAAUCCAAACCAUAA